rnacentral:rRNA from 1 species
AGUUUGAUUCUGGCUCAGAUUGAACGCUGGCGGGAUGCUUUACACAUGCAAGUCGAACGGCAGCACGGACUUCGGUCUGGUGGCGAGUGGCGAACGGGUGAGUAAUGUAUCGGAACGUGCCUAGUAGCGGGGGAUAACUACGCGAAAGCGUAGCCAAUACCGCAUACGCCCUUCGGGAAAGCGGGGGACCCUUCGGGCCUUCGCACUAUUAGAGCGGCUGAUAUCGGAUUAGCUGGUUGGUGGGGUAACGGCUCACCAAGGCGACGAUCCGUAGCUGGUUUGAGAGGAUGACCAGCCACACUGGGACUGAGACAUGCCCAGACUCCUACGGGAGGCAGCAGUGGGGAAUUUUGACAAUGGGGAAACCCUGAUCCAGCCAUCCCGCGUGUGCGAUGAAGGCCUUCGGGUUGUAAAGCACUUUUGGCAGGAAAGAAACGGCACGGGAUAAUACCCCGUGCAACUGACGGUACCUUAUCAGCACCGGCUAACUUACCGUGCCAGCAGCCGCGGUAAUACGUAGGGGUGCAAGCGUUAAUCGGAAUUACUGGGCGUAAGCGUGCGCAGGCGGUUCGGAAAGAAAGAUGUGAAAUCCCAGAGCUUAACUUUGGAACUGCAUUUUUAACUACCGAGCUAGAGUGUGUCAGAGGGAGGUGGAAUUCCGCGUAGCAGUGAAUGCGUAGAUAUGCGGAUAACGCCACCUGAUGGCGAAGGCAGCCUGGGAUAACACUGACGCUCAUGCACGAAAGCGUGGGGAGCAAACAGAUUAGAUACCCUGGUAGUCCACGCCCUAAACGAUGUCAACUAGCUGUUGGGGCCUUCGGGCCUUGGUAGCGGCAGCUAACGCGUGAAGUUGACCGCCUGGGGAGUACGGUCGCAAGAUUAAACUCAAAGGAAUUGACGGGGACCCGCACAAGCGGUGGAUGAUGUGGAUUAAUUCGAUGCAACGCGAAAAACCUUACCUACCCUUGACAUGUCUGGAAUCCCGAAGAGAUUUGGGAGUGUCUGCAAGAGAACCGGAACACAGGUGCUGCAUGGCUGUCGUCAGCUCGUGUCGUGAGAUGUUGGGUUAAGUCCCGCAACGAGCGCAACCCUUGUCAUUAGUUGCUACGAAAGGGCACUCUAUCGACUGCCGGUGACAAACCGAGGAAGGUGGGGAUGACGUCAAGUCCUCAUGGCCCUUAUGGGUAGGGCUUCACAUGUCAUACAAUGGUCGGGACAGAGGGUCGCCAACCCGCGAGGGGGAGCCAAUCCCAGAAACCCGAUCGUAGUCCGGAUCGCAGUCUGCAACUCGACUGCGUGAAGUCGGAAUCGCUAGUAAUCGCGGAUCAGCAUGUCGCGGUGAAUACGUUCCCAGGUCUUGGUACACACCGCCCGUCACACCAUGGGAGUGGGUUUUACCAGAAGUAGUUAGCCUAACCGUAAGGAGGGCGAUUACCACGGUAGGAUUCAUGACUGGGGUGAAGUCGUAACGUUGCAG